rnacentral:rRNA from 1 species
UAGCAGAACCCCAAGUGGUAGUCGUUAUUAUUGGGCUUAAAGUGUUCGUAGCCGGCCGUGCAAGUCCGCUGUGAAAUCCAAGCGCUUAACGUUUGGGCGUGCAGCGGAAACUGCACUGGCUAGGGACCGGACGGUGUCGAGGCUAUUCCAGGAGUAGGGGUGAAAUCCUAAAAUUCCUGGAGGAGCGCCUGUGGCGGAAGCGCUCGACAAGUACGGAUCCGACGGUGAGGAACGAAAGCCAGGGGAGCAAAGCGGAUUAGAUACCCGCGUAGUCCUGGCCGUUAACAUUGCCUGUUUGAUGUCAGCCAACCUUCGGGGUUGGCUGGUGCCGAAGUGAAGACGUUAAACGGGCCGCCUGGGUAGUACGGUCGCAAGGCUGAAACUUAAAGGAAUUGACGGGGGAGCACCACAACCGGUGGAGGCUGCGGUUUAAUUAGAUCAAACGCAGAGAACCCUACCAGAGCCGACAGCAGAAUGACGGUCAGCUUGAAGAGCUUACCUGACGCGCUGAGAGGAGCUGCAUGGCCGCCGUCAGCUCGUGCCGUGAGGUGUCCGGUUAAGUCCGGUAACGAGCGAGACCCGCAUCUUAUGUUGCCAUGGAUUCACUUGAUGAAUUCGGCACUCGUAAGAGACCGCUGGCGAUAAGUCAGAGGAAGGAGCGGGCCACGGUAGG